CCCGCGGCAAGACGGAAAGACCCCGUGAACCUUUACUAUAGCUUGACACUGAACAUUGAGCCUUGAUGUGUAGGAUAGGUGGGAGGCUUUGAAGUGUGGACGCCAGUCUGCAUGGAGCCGACCUUGAAAUACCACCCUUUAAUGUUUGAUGUUCUAACGUUGGCCCGUAAUCCGGGUUGCGGACAGUGUCUGGUGGGUAGUUUGACUGGGGCGGUCUCCUCCUAAAGAGUAACGGAGGAGCACGAAGGUUGGCUAAUCCUGGUCGGACAUCAGGAGGUUAGUG
rnacentral:rRNA from 1 species